CUGACUAGGGACCGCCUGGGUGAGGUGAGGACCUGGUGGCCGCAGUUGUGGCACUGUGCGCAGGCGCUGAACUGACCGGACGGAGCGGGCGGCUGUGGCCUCGCCAGCUGGUGAGAAGCGGGCGAGGGUCCGAGGUAGGGAAGGUAACGAGCGGGGGAUGUGGACACCUCUUUCCCCGCCAGGCCUCGCCGGCGCCUGACCCUCCCGGCCUGCGGCACCGGCUCAGGUUUAAAAAUAUCCUUUUUUGCUGAAGGAACACAUUUGCUGGUAUAGUUUCAGAAUGUCAAGUACUGUGUCCUACUGGAUCUUAAAUUCUACAAGGAACAGCAUUGCCACAUUGCAAGGGGGUAGACGCUUAUACU
rnacentral:lncRNA from 10 species